rnacentral:rRNA from 1 species
GAUGAACGCUGGCGGCGUGCCUAAUACAUGCAAGUCGAGCGAACAGAUGAGGAGCUUGCUCCUCUGACGUUAGCGGCGGACGGGUGGGUAACACGUGGAUAACCUACCUAUAAGACUGGGAUAACUUCGGGAAACCGGAGCUAAUACCGGAUAAUAUAUUGAACCGCAUGGUUCAAUAGUGAAAGACGGUUUUGCUGUCACUUAUAGAUGGAUCCGCGCCGCAUUAGCUAGUUGGUAAGGUAACGGCUUACCAAGGCGACGAUGCGUAGCCGACCUGAGAGGGUGAUCGGCCACACUGGAACUGAGACACGGUCCAGACUCCUACGGGAGGCAGCAGUAGGGAAUCUUCCGCAAAGGGCGAAAGCCUGACGGAGCAACGCCGCGUGAGUGAUGAAGGUCUUCGGAUCGUAAAACUCUGUUAUUAGGGAAGAACAAAUGUGUAAGUAACUAUGCACGUCUUGACGGUACCUAAUCAGAAAGCCACGGCUAACUACGUG